rnacentral:ribozyme from 1 species
AAUUGGUUUGGCCUUGCAACGGGAUGUGCUCCGAAGCCUCCUGAUGAUUCAUUCCAACUCCUAUUCCGACUUGUCCACGUCGUGCAGGGUGGUAACAUGGGCUUAAGCCCAACCUUUUGGGCGGGUGACGGCUCAUGACUAAGGAAUAAGGG